rnacentral:rRNA from 1 species
AGUGAACGCUGGCGGUAGGCCUAACACAUGCAAUUCGAACGGCAGCACAGUAAGAGCUUGCUCUUACGGGUGGCGAGUGGCGGACGGGUGAGGAAUACAUCGGAAUCUACUUUUUCGUGGGGGAUAACGUAGGGACACUUACGCUAAUACCGCAUACGACCUACGGGGGAAAGCAGGGGAUCUUCGGACCUUGCGCGAUUGAAUGAGCCGAUGUCGGAUUAGCUAGUUGGCGGGGUAAAGGCCCACCAAGGCUACGAUCCGUAGCUGGUCUGAGAGGAUGAUCAGCCACACUAGAACUGAGACACGGUCCAGACUCCUACGGGAGGCGGAAGUGGGGAAUAUUGGACAAUGGGCGCAAGCCUGAUCCAGCCAUACCGCGUGGGUGAAGAAGGUCUUCGGGUUGUAAAGCCGUUUUGUUGGGAAAGAAAAGCAGCAGGUUAAUACCGCGCUGUUCUGACGGUACCCAAAGAAUAAGCACCGGCUAACUUCGUG